rnacentral:lncRNA from 1 species
AACCAUCAACUUCUUCCUUACAUUCCCACAACUCGCUGGCUGGAACGCAACCCCAGCCUCUGUCUCUGGUGACCAAGUCUUUAGAAUAGCUCCGCCUCCUCGUCCUCCAUGCCCCUGCUUGAUUGAAGUGUUUCCUUCUGGUUCUUGGUUCGCCCUUCCCCGCUUGGAAAGCUUUUGUUUUGUACUCUUUAAUUUUGUGCCGCCGUGGCUACAUGAGUUAAUGUUUAUGGAGUUCAUUGGUCAAUAUUUGACCCAUUCUUAUUUCAAUUUCUCCUUUUAAAUAUGUAGAUGAGAAAAACCUCAUGAUUCUACCAAAAUUUUUAUCAACAGCUGUUUAAAGUCUUUGUAGCGUUUAAAAAAUAUAUUAUAUAUACAUAACUGUUAUGUAGUUCGGAUAGCUUAGUUUUAAAAGACUGAUUUAAAAAACAAAAAGAAAAAAAAGAGAGAGAAGCAAUUUUGAAGCACCCUCCAGAAGGAGUUGGUUCUGUGUUAUUUGUAUUAAAUACGAGCUUGCGAACCAAUCACUUUACACCUUGGUAUUUAAACCACGAGGGCACAAGGAAUGCAGUGCCGUUUCUUUCUUUCUUUUUUUCUUUCUUUUUUUUUUCCUCCCAGUGUGAAACAACUUUUACCUUGAUGUUACUUGUUAUUGUUUAAAUGUACAGAAACAAAGGGUUAAAAUGUGUUAAUAUACCUUGUUCCAUGGUGUUGUUCUUUUGGGGGGGAGGGGACACCACUCAACAAUGAAUGGAAUCAACACUGUUGGACCAGUAGUAUUUAUUGCUUUAGAGGUUGCUUGCUGUACCUGUAUGUCCGUCCAAUUUUAAAUAUGUUUUCCCUUUUUUUUGAAACUGUGUAAAGUCCCCCCCAACCUUAGCGUAAGCAUCUUAUAUAUAACAACUCAUUUGUACAAGGUUUUUAAGUUUAUAUAUAAAAUGUGUAUAUAUUUUUUUGUUUCCUUUUUUUUUUUUUUUUGGCGUACGUUCGUUCGUUCGUUUGUUUGUUUCUGUAUAAAACCCAGAUGCCACCAAAUGGACAUUGACAUUCGCAUUAAGGAUCAGUAGCAUUAACAAAACUUGCUUUAAAAGCCAUUCUGUAAAACAAGACUUGAACAUUAGCGAGAGGGUCUGAGCAGCCGUCUGAGCAGCCGUGGGAACUGCCCCGUUUCCCCCUUGACCUCCUAGUCAACUGCCCUGUGCUCUUAGAACAUGGACUGACCGUGUGCAAAACUUUUAUGUGCCAAAAUUCUCAGUGACUUUAGCUUUCUCCCUCCUUUUUGAUGCUGUACUUUCUGUUCGCCAUGUUUUGCUGUGAUGUUACAUAGAUAGAUUUGUAUGUAGUUUUAAUGUCACCUAUAACAAAAUGUGUUUGGUAGCAGACUGUCCAGAAAGCAUUUUAAAUGAAGAGGUCUAAACCCUUAAGGGCCAAAAAAAAUCCUGUAUAUUAGAUUACUCUUAAA